UUCCAGACUCCUACGGGAGGCAGCAGUGGGGGAUAUUGCACAAUGGGGGGAACCCUGAUGCAGCGACGCCGCGUGGGUGAAGAAGCGCCUCGGCGCGUAAAGCCCUGUCAGCAGGGAAGAAAAUGACGGUACCUGAAGAAGAAGCCCCGGCUAACUACGUGCCAGCAGCCGCGGUAAUACGUAGGGGGCAAGCGUUAUCCGGAUUUACUGGGUGUAAAGGGGGCGCAGACGGCGAUGCAAGCCAGGAGUGAAAGCCCGAGGCCCAACCCCGGGACUGCUCUUGGAACUGCGUGGCUGGAGUGCAGGAGGGGCAGGCGGAAUUCCUGGUGUAGCGGUGAAAUGCGUAGAUAUAAGGAAGAACACCAGUGGCGAAGGCGGAUUACUGGACGAUAACUGACGGUGAGGCGCGAAAGCGUGGGGAGCAAACAGGAUUAGAUACCCCAGUA
rnacentral:rRNA from 1 species